UCAGACUACUGACUUGGACCAGCAGGGGAAUGGCUGUGACAAUAAAUAAGAUUGGGAAAACAGUAAGUCGUUGUCAUGGCGACCGUCAAUUGUCAUGGGGACCGUCAAUUGUCAUGGCGCUGGUGGGAGUGUUGCUUAGCAUGAGAAGAGGAUGAUAAUGACGCCAGAGGUUCUUCAGAGGUGCCAUCUUGGAUUUCGCCAGCUUCGGCUGGUUUCGUCCUAAGAAGGAACUUCAAAACACAGGCAUUCUCUUUCCUGAAAAUCAGCAGAGUUAAAGCUGAGUAGGAAUUUAGCUCUGUCCCAUAUGCUAUCGCAUUGGGCAGCAAAAGCAGGGUAGGGUCCAGCGAAAUCAGCAGGCACUGCAAUAGGUAACAGACCCAGCUACAUUUAUGCAGCAUUUUUACAAAAAUGAAACCAUACUACCUGUAAAGAUAUGCUAACAAACAACAAAACUAGCAGGAACCAAGAUUCCUACUGACACUACCCUUCGUUUUAAUUUUCCCUGACAGCAAAUGAGGUUAACAGAGCAUAAUUACCAUCUACCGUGACCCUUUCAAAAAGACAGGCUGUAUACAUUUGCACUAAGAGAAGAAAUCGUGUAAUGUCAGCAAAUUUCCUCCACUUAAAGCUUCUCUAUUUAAAAAGCUUCACGCACACACGCAUGCAUGUCUUCAAGAUGACCACAAUUUAUUUUGCAGUCAUUCUUUGCACCAGUUCCCAAUUUUUCCCACUAGCUUGCAAGCUCCAUGACUCGAGGAGACCAGGGGAUCAGAGUUUGUUUUUGCUGAGAAAUGAGUCCUUUAUUCCCCAAAUAGUGACUGACACACAGAAGGUACUCAGUAAAUACUUUUUAAAGGAAUGCCUGCCUGACUGAAUCUUAAUGAUCUGAGGCUUCUAGUGUGAUACCCUACCUUGUUUUAACCUGAAGUGAUUUUCCCUUAGCUAAGAGAGCCAGACGGACUGCAUCCUGGCUCCUUCACUUGCCGCCCCUUACCCACCCCCUUCCUCAAGGACUUAACUUGUGCAAGCUGACUCCCAGCACAUCAAGAAUGCAAUUAACUGAUAAGAUACUGUGGCGAGCUAUAUCCGCAGUUCCCAGGAAUUCGCCCGGUUAAUAGCACCCAGAGCCCCUGCGUUUGUGUCCUGUUGGUAAUGCCCAAAGCCCCGCGUCUAUCACCUUAUAAUAGACUUAAAGCCUCUGCACCUGGAACUGUUUACUUUCCUGGAACUGUUUACUUUCCUGUAACCGUUUAUCCUUUUAACUUUUUGCCUACUUUACUUCUGUAAGAUUGUUUCAACUAGACUCCCCCGCUCCCCUUUCUAAACCAAAGUAUAAAAGAAAAUCUAUCUCCUUCUUCGGGGCCAAGAGAAUUUUGAGCGCUAGCCGUCUCGCGGUUGCGGGCUAAUAAAGGACUCCUGAAUUUGUCUCA